rnacentral:sRNA from 1 species
UGGUCUUCUGCCGGGGGAGCGGUGGAGUCAGUGCCGCUCGUCUCCCUCGGUAGUCUUGAGCAAGCCAGGAGGGCAGGUGCCAGGGACGGCACAUU